rnacentral:rRNA from 1 species
UACGUAGGGUGCAAGCGUUAAUCGGAAUUACUGGGCGUAAAGCGUGCGCAGGCGGUUUUGUAAGUCUGUCGUGAAAUCCCCGGGCUCAACCUGGGAAUUGCGAUGAGACUGCAAGGCUAGAAUCUGGCAGAGGGGGGGUAGAAUUCCACGUGUAGCAGUGAAAUGCGUAGAGAUGUGGAGGAACACCGAUGGCGAAGGCAGCCCCCCUGGGUCAAGAUUGACGCUCAUGCACGAAAGCGUGGGGAGCAAACAGG